rnacentral:tRNA from 1 species
GCCCUGGUGGCGGAAUUGGCAUACGCGGUAGGUUGAGGGCCUAUGCCUUAGGGCGUGGAGGUUCGAGUCCUCUCCAGGGCA